GGGAUUGCUUUCUUGAUCUCUUUUUGAGAUAGUUCACUAUAGGCAUCUAGAAACACUUCCUAUAUUUGUAUGUUGAUUUCAUAUACUGCAACUUUACUGAAUUGGUUCAUUAGUUCUAAAAGUUUUUUGACAGCACUUGUAGAUUACAUUGUCUGCAAACAGGGACAAUUUGAACUCCUCCUUCACAAUUUGGAUGGCCUUUCUUUCUUUCUUUUGUCCAGUUGCUCUGGCUGGGACUUCCAGUGAUAUGUUAAAUAAAAGUGGUGAAAGUAGGCAUCUUUAUCUUGUUCCACAUCUCAAAGGAAAACUUUCAAUUUUCUCCCAUUCAAUAAGAUGUUAACUGUUACCUAUAGCCUUUAUUGUGUGGAGGUUCUUUCCUUCUAUCCCUAGUUUGUUAAAAGCUUUUAUCAGGAAGGAAUAUUGAAUUUUAUCAAAUGCAUUCUUUGCAUCUAUUGAGAUGAUCAUUUGGUUUUUGUCCUUCAUUUUGUUAAUGUGAUGUAAGGUGUUUAUUGAUUUGCCUGUGUUAAACCAUUCUUGCAUCCGUGAGAUGAAUCCCACUUGAUCAUGGUGAAUGAUCUUUUUUAAUGAUCAAAAGAUCAGUUUACUAGUUUUUUUGCUAGAGUCAAUUUACUAGUAUUUUGUUAAGGAUUUUGCAUCUAUAUUUAUGUAGGAAUAAAUUUAAUUGAUGAAGUGAAAUGUAUUUACAAUAAAAAUUAUAAAACAUUGAUGAAAGAAAUGGAAAAGGACACAGUUAAAUGGGAAGGUAGUCUAUAUUCAUGUAUUGGAAUACAUUGUUAAAAAGAUGAUACUACCCAAUGUCAAAGAUAUUGGUUUAUAGUUUUCUUUUUGUGUUGUUUUCUUGUCUAAUUUUGAUAUCAGGGUAGAUUCUUUACUUAACUCAUUCUUUACUUAACUCAGGGUAGAAGGAGUUUGGAAGAAUUCCCUCCACUUCAAUUUUUUGGAAUUGUUUAAGAAGCCAUGGUAUUAGUUCUUUAAAUGAUUGGUAGAAUUUAGCAGUGAAGCCAUCACUGGGCUUUUCUUUGAUGGGAGGCAUUUUCAUUAUUGAGUCAAUCUCGUUACUUAUUAUUGGUCUGCUCAGGUUUUCUAUUUCUUCAUGAUUCAAUCUUAGCAGGUUGUAUGUGUUCAGGAAUUUGUCUAUUUCUUCUAGGUUUUCCAAUUUGCUGGUGUAUAAUCAUUUGUAAGAGUCUCUAAUGAUUCUUUAUUUUUCUGUGGUAGCAGCUGUAAUAAAUCAAGAGAUUCAAAAGCCCAGGAAAGCAAACAAGAGACCACAAAUUGUAACCAAGUCAAGAAAUUUUAACAAGAUGCAAUAAUCUCAUCACAUAAAUGAGUUUUUGAGACCAAGUUUUAGGAGAGAAAAAUUUAAAUACUCUUAUUCAGUUUAAAAAUAUGAAAAUUUCAAUACAGAAGAGUGACAAAAUAAAAUAUUGCUCUAUUUCUAGCAAUUUGGUCAGGUUAAGUCUGAAUGAUAGCUUUAGUACAGUAUUUUUCUAGAAACAAUUCUCACCCAGCCCCUAUUUUCUCAGAUGAUUACAACUUCUUACAAAUCUCACCACCACCUAAUCCCCAUCUAAUUUACAUAUAGAAAAAAAUGUUAACAUUAUUUUAUUAUAUUGUUCUACUGUUUUAAAAACCUGGGUACCUCUUUAUACUCUUGUGAGGAUCAGCAAUCUGUGAACCAUGUGUGCAAAGGUGUUAUGAGACACUGUUUUAAAUGGUAGAAUGAAGGCUUUCUCUGGACAAUAUUAUGAAGUUCCCAGAGGUUAUAUCUUCAUUCUGUUACUCCUUUUCCCACAGUGUUCAUUUUUUCUCUUCCGGAUUAUUUUUCUAUUGCUCCAAGUGAUUUUGAAGCAGCAAUAAUGAACCCUUAUUUCAGCUCUGCCUUUCUCUUAUCUACUCUGCAGUGGGACUAUGGCACUAUGACCCUCAACAGUCAAGUGGAGUAGGGUAGACUCGCUACAAAAAAUGGUCAUCUGCAGGUUCUUUUUAAUUCCUUGAUUUCCUAGGUUGAACAGUUUAGGGCAUCAGUUUGUGAGGAGGUUAGGGAGAAAAGACAGGGGAGAUGGUGCUUGACUAUUCUACAAGAAGUCCUGAAGAAUAUAAAUCAACCAUUUUUAAGAAAUUUAUUAUUUUUACUCCAAAAGUAAUACAAUAUUCAUCUUAACAAAAGUUGGCAGUGCAAGAUCAUGGGAUUCCUAGAGACAAAGCCAUUGAAGGAUCUCAAGGCUAUAAGGGAUACAGUCAGAUUAGUUUUUUUAAUUCUCUCUAGGUCUAUGAAGAAUUCGAGUCAACAAAGACUGGUGAAUGACUACAUGAUAUUUAAAUAGAAUUUAAAAUACUGGAUUAAUUUAAUGACUAAGGUCAAUUAGAUAUAUUUUCUAAAUAACAAUACUGUCCACAAUAAACCAUUUCUUAUUCUAGCCAACUGAGUCAUUGAGUACAUAGAGAAGAGAAGAAGAAUCUUGAUUCAGGAAAUAUGAGAAAUAUUUAAAAUAAAAAUUUUGGUCUAAUUUCCAAAAAGAAGACUAAAAACAACAAAAAAAAACACCCUUUGAAUGCCUUUCUGAAUGAUCAUCUGAGUGUUGAAAUAGUAAAAAUCAGCUGAAUUCCUAAGUGGUGUAAAAUGCCAGUUUUUAAAAUAAUCAUUCUCUAUGCACACACACACAAAGUAAAUUGCAUUUAUCAUCUAAUAUGCUAAUUUGUUUACAUCUAAUCUCUCUUAUUUUCUGACAUUGCUCUUUCAGAGCUCUCAUUCCUUUUGUAUAGAUUUGGGUUGUGUGUGUGCGUGUGUGUCUGUGUGUGUGUGUGUAUGUACUACUGAUCUUAUUUCUGUUCCAUGUUACUAUGUCCAGAGUUGAUUCCUUCCACUGGGUUCAUGGUCUCGCUGACUUCAAGAAUGGAGCCGCAGACCUUCAGGGCUGGAAAUUUCUGACCUGCUACCAACAUCAUCUCGGUUUCACCACUGUCAACUAUGAGUUAUUCUAUUAAUUGACUAGGCAGAAUCCUAGAAUUACAGCCUUUCAGGAGCAGGAGAGUAUUUAGAGAUCAUCUAUUUCAAGUUUUUCAUUAAAAAGCUGAAACAGUAGGAGAGGUGAAUAAAUUAAAAUGGAAAGUAAUCUGGUUGGCAAAAAAGAGAUUUUAUAAUAAUAACAUAAUACAAUAACCAGAGGAGCAACCAGAAGGGAGGCUUUGGAAAGGACUGAGAAUUCCACCAGAUAUAAUAGUUAUGAUGAGCCAAACAUACUUUGAGUUAGCAUAUGAAUUAUAUCACGUGGCUUCAAGAAUCACCCCUGUCAGGAGAAUUUUCACCUACUGCAUGAAAAGACAAUGUUCCAAGAAGUUUUGUUAGAAUAUUAUCUAGCCAGAACUACCUGGCCAUGGUGAGGCCAGUAGGAAUUUUAUUUAAAAUGUACAUUGCUGGGCCUCAGGCUCUGGAGACGUGCUUGGAAGCUAAGCUUUCAACAAACACUCCAGGAAAUUCUCCUGUACACUAGGGCUUAAGAAGCAGAGGACUGUGAUUUUGAAUUUAUAAACUAUUCAUAAUUUGUCCAGAACCAUGACUUCUGUUUUCUUUUCACUACAUAUUUUGUUUCAUAAUAGUUAGCAGUAAAAUAUAUUAUAUGUGUCUCUUGUUUAUAAGACUGCAUUCUAAAUUCUGCUGUUAUUCCUUAGGGGGGAAAAACUCAUAAAAACAAAACAGAGGAUGAAUAUUUUGAAAAAAGAAAAGAAUCCCCAAUAACCUAGGA
rnacentral:lncRNA from 1 species